rnacentral:tRNA from 1 species
GCCUUGGUGGUAAAAUGGUAGACAUACGAGACUUAAAAUCUCAUGCUAAAAAGUGUGAAGAUUCGAGUCCUCUUUAAGGCA